CUUUAUGGAAAAACAUCAGAGGCAAAGGACAGUACAUAUCCAGAGCUGCAUGGCUCAGAGAGGUAUUUUCCCUGUCUUAUUAAUGGAUCCUGACAAAAAUUCUUCUAUGGGAUUGCUGUCAUCAAGCAACUCUGGACCAUCAUUUUCUCCCAUCAACAGAAAUCUCCUCAAGAGGUGUUUACAAGACUGCCAUAGAGAGCCUCCAACACAGUCUAUGUUUGUUCAUCCUUGUGCCACUGUGACUAGUAAAUUAAAUUAAACUGAC
rnacentral:lncRNA from 1 species